AGCAGCCGCGGUAAUUCCAGCUCCAAUAGCGUAUAUUAAAGUUGUUGCAGUUAAAAAGCUCGUAGUUGAAUUUCGGAAUUUUUUAUCGGUUGAAUCAACAGGUUCGUACUGAUUUUAAGAAUUUCUACCUUCUGGAGAACCUUAAUGUCAUUUAUUUGGUGUUUUGGGAAACCAGGACUGUUACCUUGAAAAAUUAGAGUGUUUAAAGCAGGCUCAUGUCUGAAUAUAUUAGCAUGGAAUAAUGAAAUAGGACGGCAUGGUUCUAUUUUGUUGGUUUCUAGGAUCACCGUAAUGAUUAAUAGGGAUAGUUGGGGGCAUUAGUAUUCAAUUGUCAGAGGUGAAAUUCUUGGAUUUAUUGAAGACUAACUUCUGCGAAAGCAUUUGCCAAGGAUGUUUUCAUUAAUCAAGAACGAAAGUUAGGGGAUCGAAGACGAUCAGAUACCGUCGUAGUCUUAACCAUAAACUAUGCCGACUAGGAAUCGGACGAAGUUAAUUUUUAA
rnacentral:rRNA from 1 species